GACGAACGCUGGCGGCGUGCUUAACACAUGCAAGUCGAACGAAGUGGCGAACGGGUGAGUAACGCGUAAUCAACCUGCCCUUCAGAGGGGGACAACAGUUGGAAACGACUGCUAAUACAGCAUACUGAUGGAGGGGAUGGCGUCUGAUUAGCUAGCUGGAGGGGUAACGGCCAACCCAGGCGAUGAGCAGUAGCCGGGCUGAGAGGAUGAACGGCCACAUUGGGACUGAGACACGGCCCAGACUCCUACGGGAGGCAGCAGUGGGGAAGCUUCCGCAAUGGACGAAAGUCUGACGGAGCAACGCCGCGUGAGUGAUGACGGCCUUCGGGUUGUAAAGCUCUGUUAAUCGGGACGCGGUACCGGAAUAGAAAGCCACGGCUAACUACGUGCCAGCAGCCGCGGUAAUUC
rnacentral:rRNA from 1 species